rnacentral:tRNA from 3 species
GUUAGUAUGGCAGAGCUUGGUUAUGCAAAAGAUCUAAGUCCUUUCAACCGGGGUUCAAAUCCCCUUACUAACU